AUUGAACGCUGGCGGCAGGCCUAACACAUGCAAGUCGAACGAGUGGCGGACGGGUGAGUAAUUUCUGGGAAACUGCAUGAUGGAGGGGGAUAACUACUGGAAACGGUAGCUAAUACCGCAUACCAUCGGAUGUGCCCAGAUGGGAUUAGCUAGUCGGUGGGGUAAAGGCUCACCUAGGGGACGAUCCCUAGCUGGUCUGAGAGGCUGACCGGCCAGUCUGGAACUGAGACACGGUCCAGAGUCCUACGUGAGGCAGCAGUGGGGAAUAGUGCACAAUGGGCGAAAGCCUGAUGCAGCCAUGCCGCGUGUAUGAAGAAGGUCUUCGGGUUGGAAAGUACUUGCAGCGGGGAGGCGUUACCCGCAGAGGAAGCACCGGCUAACUCCGUGCCAGCAGCCGCGGUAAUUC
rnacentral:rRNA from 1 species